rnacentral:rRNA from 1 species
CGGAGGAAAAGAAACAAACAUGGAUUCCCCUAGUAGCGGCGAGCGAAGCGGGAUGAGCCCAGAUUUGAAAGCUCCCGCCAGGGCGCAUUGUAAGCUGGAGACGUGCCUCGAGCGGUGCGGCUGGACGCCAAGUCUGCUGGAAAGCAGCAUCAGAGAGGGUGAGAAUCCCGUGCUUGGUCUGGCUGUGCGCCGUGUUGUGGGGUGCGCUCGACGAGUCGCGUUGUUUGGGAAUGCAGCGCAAAGUGGGUGGUAAACGCCAUCCAAGGCUAAAUACCGGGGAGAGACCGAUAGCGAACAAGUACCGUGAGGGAAAGAUGAAAAGCACUUUGGAAAGAGAGUUAAACAGUACGUGAAAUUGCCAAGAGGGAAGCGCUGGCAGUCAGUGCCGCAGCUGUUUCUUUGGAGGCAGUGGGGCCCGCAUCGGUUACGGGGUGGGGGAGAAGGCAGUGCGGAAGGUGGCUCUCUCUUUGCGGGGGGAGUGUUAUAGCCGCGCUGUGGAUGCCCUGCCGGUGACCGAGGACCGCUCCUGGUAGAGGAUGCGGGCUUAAUGGCUUUCAGCGGCCCGUCUG